AUACAUACAUUUAUUUGUGUCUUCUUGUGUCACAAGUGUACUCAUAUAAUGCAAUCACAACUUACGAUAUACAGUUAUACAAAGGCGUUGUGAAUGAUUCGAAUUUCAAACAAAUCAGAGUACUGAUCAGUAGUCACAUCUCUUCUUGUAACUCCCAUAUCUUCUUGUGUCUACUCCCAUGUCUUCUUGUCUCACAUGUAUUCUUCCACCUGCAAAAACAAUGAUCAGACACAAAGACAACAAACCAAGACGACAACAAAGACUUCAAACUAGCGAUGAGAAGAACAAAGCCAAGAAACGGUUCAAAGUUUUCUUCCUCUCAGGCCCUUCUCUGAUUUGUUCUUCUCUCCAAGAACGGUUCAAAGUCUUCUCCUUUCGAGUUCAACAAGAGAAGAGCUUAUGGUUUUGACGAAACUGGUAAGAACAAGAAGAAUCUCAAAAUAAAAACACACAAACUCAAUCCCAACACUACUGCUUACGCACAGGUCCUUGGAACGGGAAUGGACACAAAAGACUUCGUUUUCUCUAUUACUCUUCUUUGAUAAACAAAGAUUCAUCUUUAAUGCUGAGAGGGCUUGCACCGUUGCAACGUUUUUGUAACGUUUUUGUACAAAACAUAAGAUUAAACUAUCAAAGAUAAAUAUUGUCUCCUGUCUGCUCAGAGACUACAGGUGGACUUCCAGAUUUGUUCUUGCUUUUGACUCAUGGCUUGGGUGUUAGUUCAGGACAAUGUGUUGGCACUUAUGGAAGAGAUGAUGUUGGUUCUGUUUCUUGUGGAUGGCUUCAUGACGGUUCAGUUAUCAUUGGCGCAAUGGCAGAUAGAAGGAUCUACCUGUGGAGUUUAUAUGGGACUGAGAUAGAA